AUGAGCCGGGGAAGGGCACUCCUGUAAGGGGGCACAGAGGUCUGAAAGAGCACGGGGAGUAUGGCCAAUUUUCAGGAUUUUUAGCACAGCUAGAAACCCAGCCUCCCCUUUAAGGAUGGCAAAUAGUGCCCUGAUCUCCGCUGGCUGCUUGGCCAUAUUUGUCACUGUGAUCUCCCUGUUGGUGUACAAAAAACAUAAGGAAUACAAACCAAUAGAAAAUAGUCCUGGCAAUGUGGUCAGAAGCAAAGGCCUGAGUGUCUUUCUCAACCGUGCAAAAGCCGUGUUCUUCCCGGGAAACCAGGAAAAGGAUCCGCUACUCAAAAACCAAGAAUUUAAAGGAGUUUCUUAAAUUUCGACCUUGUUUCUGAAGCUCACUU
rnacentral:sRNA from 1 species